rnacentral:lncRNA from 1 species
AUUUUUGGAUUACCUAUUGGCAGUAGAGGGAGGUGUAUGUGGGAAGUUUAAUCUAAGCAAUUGUUGUCUUCAAAUAGAUGAUGAAGGGCAAGCAAUAGCUGAGCUUACUAGCCAUAUGGUUAAGCUAGCAUAUGUACCUACUCAGGUAUGGAAAGGGUAUAAUCCGAGUAGUUGGUUUGGUAGUUGGUAUGAGCAGUUUGGAGGAAUCAAGGCAUUGGUAGGUGGAGUCAUACUGAUUUUGAUGUUGUGUCUCCUUCUGCCAUGUCUGAUUCCUUUGGUAAUUAGGUCUAUGCAGAGCAUUAUAGAAAGUAUAGCAGAAAGAAAGGCCGCAGCACAGGUAAUGGCUGUUUGCAGGUAUGAAGCUCUAGAUCAAGGAGAAUACAUGCAGGAAGAGGAAUGUUGAGGGGUUCGUAUCUUUAGAGACUCGCAAAGUCUAGUCUAGUUUAUGGCAACUUGAGGUGUAAGCAAACUAUGAUUGGUGAUGCAGCUGGAAUUAUUUUAAAUUAGAAGCAUCAAAGGGGGGAAUGUGAUGGAAUUCCAGUAAAAUACAAGUUUAGCAGGCCAAG